GACGGGGGGGGCAAGUGUUCUUCGGAAUUACUGGGCGUAAAGAGCUCGUAGGUGGUUUGUCGCGUUGUCCGUGAAAACUCACAACUCAAUUGUGGGCGUGCGGGCGAUACGGGCAGACUGGAGUACUGCAGGGGAGACUGGAAUUCCUGGUGUAGCGGUGAAAUGCGCAGAUAUCAGGAGGAACACCGGUGGCGAAGGCGGGUCUCUGGGCCGAUACUGACGCUGAGGAGCGAAAGCGUGGGGAGCGAACAGG
rnacentral:rRNA from 1 species